AUCCUUUUGUAGUUCAUAAGCGUGAUGAUUAGGUUUUCGUGUGCAUGCGUGAGAUGUGCCUCCCACAAAUCUUGUUACAACGUUGGCACUUUACCCAUCUGACA
ensembl:snoRNA